AGCCCCGUAAGCGCCAGACUGCAAAUCGGCCACCGCACAAAUAAGAUGCCCGGGGCU
rnacentral:tRNA from 1 species